rnacentral:tRNA from 1 species
CAGGGAGUAGUUUAGUUAAGAAUCCUGGCUUUGGGAGUCAGGGGCAGGGGUUAGAAUCCCUUCUCUCUGA